UACAGAGGUCUCAAGCGUUGUUCGGAUUCAUUGGGCGUAAAGGGUGCGUAGGCGACGCGGUAAGUCGGGUGUGAAAUCUCGGAGCUUAACUCCGAAACUGCAUUCGAUACUGCCGUGCUUGAGGACUGGAGAGGAGACUGGAAUUUACGGUGUAGCGGUGAAAUGCGUAGAUAUCGUAAGGAAGACCAGCGGCGAAGGCGGCGUCCUGGACUGGUACUGACGCUCAGGAGCGAAAGCGUGGGGAGCGAUCCGG
rnacentral:rRNA from 1 species